CCUACGGGUGGCUGCAGUAGGGAAUAUUGGACAAUGGGUGCGAGCCUGAUCCAGCCAUGCCGCGUGCAGGAAGACGGCCUUCUGGGUUGUAAACUGCUUUUGCCAGGGGAUAAAAAGUCCCUGCGGGGAAAAUUGAAGGUACCUGGUGAAUAAGCCACGGCUAACUACGUGCCAGCAGCCGCGGUAAUACGUAGGUGGCAAGCGUUGUCCGGAUUUAUUGGGUUUAAAGGGUGCGUAGGCGGUCCGUUGUGAAAUACGGCAGCUUAACUGUCGAGGUGCCAUUGAUACUGGAGGACUUGAGUACAGACGAGGUAGGCGGAAUUGACGGUGUAGCGGUGAAAUGCUUAGAUAUCGUCAAGAACACCGAUAGCGAAGGCAGCUUACUAGACUGUAACUGACGCUGAGGCACGAAAGUGUGGGGAUCAAACAGGAUUAGAUACCCGAGUAGUC
rnacentral:rRNA from 1 species